rnacentral:rRNA from 1 species
AGGUACCUACGGGACGCAGCAGUAGGGAAUCUUCCACAAUGGGCGAAAGCCUGAUGGAGCAACGCCGCGUGGGUGAAGAAGGUCUUCGGAUCGUAAUACCCUGUUGUUAGAGAAGAAAGUGCGUGAGAGUAACUGUUCACGUUUCGACGGUAUCUAACCAGAAAGCCACGGCUAACUACGUGCUAGCAGCCGCGGUAAUACGUAGGUGGCAAGCGUUAUCCGGAUUUAUUGGGCGUAAAGGGAACGCAGGCGGUCUUUUAAGUCUGAUGUGAAAGCCUUCGGCUUAACCGGAGUAGUGCAUUGGG